ACGUAGGGUGCGAGCGUUAAUCGGAAUUACUGGGCGUAAAGGGAGCGCAGGCGGCUUGGCCAGUCUGGAGUGAAAGCCCGGGGCUCAACCCCGGAAGUGCUUUGGAUACUACCAAGCUUGAGUACGUGAUAGGAGAGCGGAAUUCCAGGUGUAGCGGUGAAAUGCGUAGAUAUCUGGAGGAACACCGGUGGCGAAAGCGGCUCUCUGGCGCGAUACUGACGCUGAGGCUCGAAAGCGUGGGGAGCGAACG
rnacentral:rRNA from 1 species